AAAUAGCUUUAAAUCAAUUAGAAUGAGACCAAAACACAUAUAGUGAAGCAUGGAAGAUAGCCCCAUCAAAAGCAUAAGCAAUGUUUAGUAAGAAACUAGUCAUAACUUGAGUAACCUAUUCUUAAAGUAAGAUAGAGUUAUGAAGCUCAAACAAUGCCAUAGUGGAAAAACGAUAGGAGAAAGAAAACAACAAACCUGAGGAAUUUCAGCAACAUAUU
rnacentral:lncRNA from 1 species